rnacentral:rRNA from 1 species
AGUGAACGCUGGCGGUAGGCCUAACACAUGCAGGUCGAACGGCAGCACAGUAAGAGCUUGCUCUUACGGGUGGCGAGUGGCGGACGGGUGAGGAAUACAUCGGAAUCUACUUUUUCGUGGGGGAUAACGUAGGGAAACUUACGCUAAUACCGCAUACGACCUACGGGUGAAAGCAGGGGAUCUUCGGACCUUGCGCGAUUGAAUGAGCCGAUGUCGGAUUAGCUAGUUGGCGGGGUAAAGGCCCACCAAGGCGACGAUCCGUAGCUGGUCUGAGAGGAUGAUCGGCCACACUGGAACUGAGACACGGUCCAGACUCCUACGGGAGGCAGCAGUGGGGAAUAUUGGACAAUGGGCGCAAGCCUGAUCCAGCCAUACCGCGUGGGUGAAGAAGGCCUUCGGGUUGUAAAGCCCUUUUGUUGGGAAAGAAAAGCAGCAGGUUAAUACCCCGCUGUUCUGACGGUACCCAAAGAAUAAGCACCGGCUAACUUCGUG